rnacentral:rRNA from 1 species
ACAACUUUCAACAAUGGAUCUCUUGGUUCUCGCAUCGAUGAAGAACGCAGCGAAAUGCGAUAAGUAAUGUGAAUUGCAGAUCUCAGUGAAUCAUCGAAUCUUUGAACGCACCUUGCGCUCUUUGGUAUUCCAAAGGGCAUGCCUGUUUGAGUGUCAUUAC